ensembl:ncRNA C26G2.6 ncRNA
GUGUGGGUUUUUGCAUGUUUUUUUUUGCCAUUCGCCACCCCUCCCCGUCCUUUUUAUCUAACUUUAUUCUUGCUAGUCUGGCAAGCGUAAAUUGCGAUUUACUCGGUGAAGAAUCAUGUAUUCACGGCUUGCUGCAUCAACUCU